AUACUUACCUGGCAGGGGAGAUACCAUGAUCAUGAAAAUGGUUUUCCCAGAGCAAGGCUCAUCCAUUGCACUUUGGGUGUGCUGAUCCCUGUGAUUUCCCCAAAUGUGGGAAAGUCAACUGCAUAAGUUGUGGUAGUGGGGAACUGUGUUUGUGCUUCCCCUGG
rnacentral:snRNA from 1 species